UACGAAGGGAGCUAGCGUUGUUCGGAAUCACUGGGCGUAAAGCGCACGUAGGCGGAUGUGUCAGUCAGGGGUGAAAUCCCGGAGCUCAACUUCGGAACUGCCCCUUGAUACAGCACGUCUUGAGUCCGGAAGAGGUGGGUGGAAUUCCUAGUGUAGAGGUGAAAUUCGUAGAUAUUAGGAAGAACACCGGUGGCGAAGGCGGCCCACUGGUCCGGUACUGACGCUGAGGUGCGAAAGCGUGGGGGAGCAAACAGG
rnacentral:rRNA from 1 species